ensembl:lncRNA
CUUCCAACUUGGGCAUGUUGUGCCUGUCUCUCUCUCCCUCUCUUUCUCUCACAGAUCACUUAUUCUGGGAGAAUCAAGUCCUGUUGCGAGCAGCGUUACGGAGAGCUCUAGAUGCUGGUGCUUGACAGAUGCUUGGGGAUGAUGAAGAUGAUUUUCGGUUUGAGGGCUGCUCUCGCUCUCUGCUUGGCCACAUGGAAGUUCCAAAUCUCCCGAAGUGAGUUUUUCGUUGAUGGUGACCUGGGCAGCAGCUCAGAGGAGCCCUGCACGGGGAGGCAUCAAUCACCGACUCGUAACAGCCUUAUGUGCUUGCCACUCCCACUCAGUUUCAUUGCUCGAAAUCCAGACCAGUCCUCAGAACAUGACACUGAUUCCUCUUCUGUGUUUUCUCUCUGUUCUCUGCAGUGGGUUUGUCUUCAACAAUGAGCCAUUCAUGGGCACCAGGGAGCUACCUAGGACCAGGGAGACGGCUGCAGGCCCUGCAGCCCGUCAGAGAAACACCCUGAGAAUGGCUGCAGUUUUCCUGUUUCUCUUGAGCCCCGGAGGAUUUCAAAGUCUCUUUCAAAAUGAAGAAUGGAUCUUUGGAGAUUGCAAAGUACUAGACGCCCACUGUGGGAAACGUUGCUUUUCCUACCCACCAUCCAUACUCCUUUUUCCGGUAACACCACUUCGAUUGUCCUUUGAGGGCCACCCUUCUUCCACACUCAGCUCAUAGGCAUUGGUAGGGUUGACCUGACCAUGGAGGCUCCCUGAUUUCAGGGUAGGCACAGCAUCCUGGCCUGCAUCUUCUGUCCUCCUGGCUUUGGGUGGGGGGUAGUUGGGACCCAGACUGAGCCAUGUCAGAGCCAAUCCUGAAGGAUUUGGGGGGAAGUAUUGGGAAAGAGACUCUGUUUUCACCUAGGUUGCUGACUGGGUAAAGUAUAAGUUGGCAGCUGUGGUGAUCAUCUUUGCUACCACAUGGGAAGAGUCAGUAAGAAUAUAGGCCACAGAGGAAAACUGAGCCAAAGUGACAGACCGCUGAUGACAUAGGGUGUAUACUGGACCCAACUAUGCCUGAAGCCUGGACCCUGACUUCUCAGUUAUGCUGGUCAGUACAUUCCCUCUUAUUCCUUUAUCUCAUUUGAGCUGAGUUUCUGCUCCUAGCUCCAUCAGUUUCUGUUAGCUUGACUCUUUUAGUUGCAACUAAAAGGGUCCUAACUGAUACUAAGCUUUUUUCUGCUUCCUACUGCCUGCUAAGGUUACCCUUAUCCAGUUAUUUGCUAUAGUGUCUUGCGACUGCUCCAAACUGUACCAGAGCUAAGGUGUACUAACCUUGUCCAAAAUUUCAGCCUAGAUGAAAACAGGAAGGCUCACUCACCCAGUUCACCUCUGACUGGAUGGGGUAACAGACACCACUGAAAUCCCCAGCCAUGUCUUGAGUCUGUGGUAAGAGCCCCAGCAUUGCCCAUUCAUUCAGCAAUCAUUAAUUCUAUGUCUACUACAGAAUUCCUUUAAACAGCUCACAGUCAAGCAGAGAGACUGGUGUGAGUGCAAAGAAAUAUGGCAGGCACUGUGAGGAGAGUCUACUUUUGCCUGCCUGGGAAGACCCAAGGAAGAAGUGGCCAGUUGCUGUCUUAGCAGGAUGAAGAAAGAUCUCAUGGAAGAGGUGAUGCUAGAACUGUAUCUUCAAAGAUGAACAGAGGUUUUCAGCUAAAAAAAGUGUAGGAAAGACAGACCAGCCCAGCCUAGGAGAGAAAUGUCAACUGUGGACUAUUACCUGUCUUAAAAAUCUAUUACCUGCAGUAUGGAGAAGGCAGUUCAAUCUUGUAUGAUUAGCACAUGCCUGACUGGUAUGCUAUGCUGUCUAGAACAUAGAAACUUGUCGUCACACUUGUCGCCUCCUUCCUCCCUUCCCCAAAUUCAUAAAAUACUAUAAAAUUUUCUUGCUGGUAAGCAAGGCCAUAUAGAUGUUAGAGUUAAGUGUGGUGGGUAGACUCAGUAUUCCAUGUGUAAUCACCAGCUUGGGGGCUGUGAGUCAGUGGUGGGGAGACAGCAGCAUCAACAGCAGCACCAUCUGCCCUCCUUCUGGAUCAAAGUUAGAAUUGUACACCCUCGAAAUAAGUUGUCCAGUGGUGGCCCCCUGUCUUCCUCUUCAGCUCUUCCAAUAGUUUUGUAAGCUCCCCACUCCUUAUACUGAAUCCCUUUUGGCUGGAAAUACCUAGAGCAGGUCCUGGUGUCUGCACUGAAUUCUGACUGAUACGAUUCCCCACUGUGAGGUCUAGAAGGGCCAAGAGCUGUUUGUCUUGUUCUUCACUGCAUCCCCAGUACCAAGCACAGGGUUUGGCAGUAGUAGGUUCUCAGUAAACAGUUUUUGAGUAACUGUAUUAAAAGUCGUAAUAUGUAAACGGGCAUACAUAUGUAUAUACAAAUAAUUACAACAAUUCAAAAGAUGCCAUAAGGCUGCACUUUCAUGGUCAAGAGCCACCUUACUAGCGAUGAGUGCUAUGUUGUCAUAGGCUAGUGGUACUGUGGGCUGGAGUGUUCACAGAAGACUUGAUGGAGAAGUCUUGGUGGAAAGGAGCUAGGUUCUGAUGGAUAAACAGGAAUUCGGCGGGGGGAAAAAAAGAGUGGGACAGUUUAGAUAUCAGUCCUUAGUGCUCACGUCACUCUGAUGACUAAUGUGUACUCACUCCUGAAAUGAGGACUAAGUUCCCUUUGAAAUGCACAUGGACUUAAAAGUGAAGGGAAAAGGUCUUGGCAUGAUGUUCUCAGGUUCUGCCAAACCCUAAUGUUGUGUUUGGAGCCCUCCUCUGCCCCAUAGGCCACAAGAAUUCCCCUGUCCCAAUCCCAUACCCACAUCAAGCAUGUUUCCGAAUCUUCUGGGAAGCCACACAGUGAGCAGUCAGAUGUCUGAUCUUGCUUCAGAACAAGCAAGGCAAGAUCCGAGUUCAACCAGCAGAAAUUUCCUCGUUGGCUGUCAGUUUCCCUGAGCUCCAGGGUUGGGUGAAAGGUUUGGGGGACAAAUCUCUCUUUAUCAUGCAGUGAUUACAAGCAAAGCGAUGUGAGUGAGGACUUUUGUACCUGCCAGUCAAGAUGAUCAGUGUCACCAGAAGGCCACUAGGCUCACGAGCUCUUCUUUAAGUGGGAACCAACCCAACCAAUGCCAG